GACGAACGUUGGCCGCGUGCUUAACACAUGCCAGUCUAACGGAAAGGCCAUGCUGUUGUGGGGUGCUCGAGUGGCGAAGGGGUGAGUAACCCGUGAGUAGACUGGCCUUGAGUUUGGGAUAACCUCAGGAAAGUGGGGCUAAUACCGGCUAGGAGCUCCUGCUGCAUGGUGGGGGUUGGAAAGUUUCGGCGGUUGGGGAUGGACUCGCGGCUUAUCAGCUUGUUGGUGGGGUAGUGGCUUACCAAGGCUUGGAUGGGUAGCCUGCCUGAGCGGGUGACCGGCCACAUUGGGACUGAGAUACGGCCCAGACUCCUACGGGAGGCAGCAGUGGGGAAUAUUGCACAAUGGGCGGAAGCCUGAUGCAGCAACGCCGCGUGCGGGAUGACGGCCUUCGGGUUGUAAACCGCUUUCGCCUGUGACGAAGCGUGAGUGACGGUAAUGGGUAAAGAAGCACCGGCUAACUACGUG
rnacentral:rRNA from 1 species